GAUGAAGAACGCAGCGAAAUGCGAUAACUAAUGUGAAUUGCAGAAUUCAGUGAAUCAUCGAGUCUUUGAACGCACAUUGCGCCCCCUGGUAUUCCGGGGGGCAUGCCUGUCCGAGCGUCAUUGCUGCCCUCAAGCACGGCUUGUGUGUUGGGCUCCGUCCCCCCGGGGACGGGCCCGAAAGGCAGCGGCGGCACCGAGUCCGAUCCUCGAGCGUAUGGGGCUUUGUCACCCGCUCUGUAGGCCCGGCCGGCGCCAGCCGACAACCCAUCAUCCUUUUCAGGUUGACCUCGGAUCAGGUAGGGAUACCCGCUGAACUUAAGCAUAUCAAUAAGCGGAGGA
rnacentral:misc_RNA from 1 species